rnacentral:rRNA from 1 species
UACAGAGGUCUCAAGCGUUGUUCGGAUUCAUUGGGCGUAAAGGGUGCGUAGGUGGUGGGGUAAGUCGGAUGUGAAAUCCCGGGGCUCAACCCCGGAACUGCAUUCGAUACUGCCUUGCUCGAGUACUGGAGAGGAGACUGGAAUUUACGGUGUAGCGGUGAAAUGCGUAGAUAUCGUAAGGAAGACCAGUGGCGAAGGCGGGUCUCUGGACAGUUCCUGACGCUGAGGCACGAAGGUCAGGGGAGCAAACGGG